AUUGAACGCUGGCGGCAGGCCUAACACAUGCAAGUCGAACGAGUGGCGGACGGGUUAGUAAUGUCUGGGAAAAUGCCUGAUGGAGGGGGAUAACUACUGGAAAAGGUAGCUAAUACCGCAUACCAUCAGAUGUGCCCAGAUGGGAUUAGCUAGUUGGGGGGGUAACGGAUCACCAAGGCGACGAUCCCUAGCUGGUCUGAGAGGAUGACCAGCCACACUGGAACUGAGACACGGUCCAGACUCCUACGGGAGGCAGCAGUGGGGAAUAUUGCACAAUGGGCGCAAGCCUGAUGCAGCCAUGCCGCGUGUAUGCAGAAGGCCUUCGGGUUGUAAAGUACUUUCAGCGGAGAGGCGUUACCCGCAGAAGAAGCACCGGCUAACUCCGUGCCAGCAGCCGCGGUAAUUC
rnacentral:rRNA from 1 species